ACUCAGAUGACAGUCAGUGAGAACUUUAGACCAGAUCAACCUCAAUGAAUGUGAAUAACUUCAGUGCAAUCUUAUUUCUGGUAAGUAUGCAAUAUCCAUCAGGGCUUCUGAAUAAAAAGAGCUCACAGAUUCCUACACUCCAUUUCAGGGUUCCUAGGAGUCCCACAGAAACGGAUAGAAAAACUUUCAGGUAGAAAUGAGGUUGACCUAUCUCUUUUUUUCCGGCAGAGUAUUCUGCCUUGAAGAAAAUUUGAAGAUGUUUGCAAUAUCUUUGAUUACACAAUUCAAGCCGUUAUUGAUCUGUGAAAGUUUCCUCAUUCCAGGGAGCAAUCUGCUUUAUGGGAGGGAGCUGUGCCCAGUUCAUGGGUCUUUCCAUGUGACUUUGAGGGGACAAAAGCAUCAAGUUCAAGGACAUUAUUAGGAAAAGCAUCCAAAUACCUUGGAGAUUCUCACAGGGAGGGGCUGAGGUGAUGGGGGUAGGACAAACUCCUCGUGGUGGAAUAAGUAAGAAAGUGAAAACCACAUCGUGAGGUUAAAUAAGCAAGAUGAAUCAAAAUGCCAAGCUUCUUUAUUCUAAGUGAAGAAUUGCAUUCUCAAGGCUCCCUUCUAUUAGAAAAAUGAAGUCUUGUGUUCAGGUGGUUAAAUCAAACAUAAAAAGGAGAAAUAAAUUUCCCGGUGCCAAUAAAAAGUCUCUCCUUGCUGCUCAAAGCAAAAGUUUUGAGACAUUCAACAAUAGGUCAAAAUAACAUUCUGUGUUCUGUACACCAUAUUCCAAACUCAAGCAAAAUGUCUACGGAUUUUUUUUUUUUUAUUUCAAAGCCUUUUGAUUAAAGUGUACCAGAAGGGCACUGACAGAGCAGGCUGUUUCUGUUCUUCUGCGGAAGGUUUCAAUGGCCGCCGCACACUCUCUAAAUCUAUUUACUUCAAGGCUGGAAUGAAACAAACAUGACAGAUGGUUUUUUAAAAAAUCAAAGGGGAAGUUCUUGGAACACAUCCUUCAAAAUAAAAUUUUGUUUCUUUUUUUUUUUUUUUUUUUUGGAGCAGCUGAAAUGAUUUUUCAGAACAUCUGAUGAGCGAUUUUAAUACUUCAACUUUCUCCUCCAUGAAGCGAGCCCAUUCAUUUGGAGACUUCUGUUCUUUUGUUUUAUUUCUGUGAGUGUCUUUCUUUGACAAGACAUAAAGUCUGAAAACCACAAUAUGCUAAAUGAAUGGACCCAUAGUAUAUUUGGCUACAUAAGGGCUGCUGGAGUAUACUUUGGAUUUUGACGGGGUAAUAGAAUGCUUAAUGCAAGAAAUCUUGAAAAAAUAAAAAGGAAAGUUAAUGAGUCUUCAUGUUUACUAUUGCUCAUGUUCAAGAGGGAUGAGCAAUUUUCCCUCACCUGUUGUAAGGACAGUAACUAGAGGGGUACUCCAUUCCCCUGAAGGCCGGACAGGUUGAUGGUUAGGAAAAUACCAGAAAAGGGAAUGGAGGGUUGAGGGACUUGAGGAACGGUUUGGGGAUUACUGUGUAGAGCUGGUUUUCACCUACUCAUGCUCAGAGGAGCAUUGGUUUAACACCACCAGUAAGCCUCAUUUACAAAGCUGAAAUUUAACUUUUGGAAACGUGCAAAACCACAAUUGACAUUAGCACAGUCUGUUAAAAGUAAGGAAUGGCUCUUGCUCAGUUUUCAUAUGGACUGGAUAUAAGGGAGAAAGAGGAGUCAAAUAGGACUCCCAGGUCUCCUGGGUGGGUCACAGCAGGAGGGACACUGAGUCCAUGGAAGAUAGGAGACAAAGGAGAUCUGGAUGCUAAUACAUUUGCUUCCAAAGGCUUGUCUAUAAAGACUCACAAAUUUAGAAAUCAUGCCAUCUCUGGAUCUCAUAAUUAGAAACUGGAGGACUGAGACCUCCACAGAAAAGCAGCGUGAGGCUAUUGUUUAAAAACACUAACUUUGGUUUGCAAAAGACCUGGAUUAAAGUCCCUGCAUCCCCACCUUCUAGCCAUGUGACCCCAGAUCAAGGGGAACAGCCUUUUUGGGUUCUUUCCUUAUUGGUUAAACUUUGGUCACUGAACCUUCUUGUUAGGAUGUUAAGAUACUCAGAUGAAGUCAUGUGAAGAACGUCAUGUGAAGAACGCGUUUAUCAUAGAAAUAGGCCCUUAACACAGCUAUUCCCCUCCACUCAGACUCCAUGGUACCAGUCAAAGGAGAAUAUAUUCUAUAUGGGAGUCACAAGAUCUGCUCUGACCAUAGCCCUCGCCUAAGAAAAAACAACAUUACAUUAAGUGAAAUAAGCCAGGCACAGAAGAACAAACACUGCCUGAUUCCAUUUAUAUGCAUUAUCGAAUGCAGUCGAACUCAUUGAAGCAGAAAGCAGAAUGGUGGUUGCCGGGGCUGAGGAGGACGGAAAUAAAAAGUUGCUAUUCAAUGGGUACGGGGCUUCAGUCAUACAAGAUGAAAAAGUUCUAGUGAUCUGCUGUACGGCAAUGUGCAUAUAAUUAACAAUACC
rnacentral:lncRNA from 1 species